rnacentral:rRNA from 1 species
AACGAACGCUGGCGGCAGGCUUAACACAUGCAAGUCGAGCGCCCCGCAAGGGGAGCGGCAGACGGGUGAGUAGCGCGUGGGAACGUACCCUUUGCUACGGAAUAGCUCCGGGAAACUGGAAUUAAUACCGUAUGCGCCCUACGGGGGAAAGAUUUAUCGGCAAAGGAUCGGCCCGCGUUGGAUUAGCUAGUUGGUGGGGUAAUGGCCUACCAAGGCGACGAUCCAUAGCUGGUCUGAGAGGAUGAUCAGCCACAUUGGGACUGAGACACGGCCCAAACUCCUACGGGAGGCAGCAGUGGGGAAUAUUGGACAAUGGGCGAAAGCCUGACGCAGCCAUGCCGCGUGGAUGAUGAAGGUCUUAGGAUUGUAAAAUCCUUUCACCGGUGAAGAUAAUGACUGUAGCCGGAGAAGAAGCCCCGGCUAACUUCGUGCCAGCAGCCGCGGUAAGAC